rnacentral:tRNA from 1 species
AGCUCUGCGGUGUACGGACACAUAAGAUUGCAAAUCUUAAGGAGCAGCCUAGCGGCUUGCCGGAGCUU